rnacentral:rRNA from 1 species
UGGCGGACGGGUGAGUAAUGUCUGGGAAACUGCCUGAUGGAGGGGGAUAACUACUGGAAACGGUAGCUAAUACCGCAUAAUGUCUACGGACCAAAGCGGGGGACCUCCGGGCCUCGCGCCAUCAGGUGAACCCAUAUGGGAUUAGCUUGUAGGUAAGGUAACGGCUUACCUAGGCGACGAUCCCUAGCUGGUCUGAGAGGAUGAUCAGCCACACUGGGACUGAGACACGGCCCAG